AUUCCCAUCACCCACUUGAAAAGGUAACGGAUUCACCCAAGGCGAUGAUGGGGUGGCCGGCCCGAGAGGGGAGAUCAGCCACAAGGGGGACUGAGACACGGCCUUUUAUUCCUUCGGGAGGCAGCAGUUGGGGAAAUAUUUGGACAAUGGACCAAGAGUCUGAUCCCAGCAAUUUCUGUGUGCCACGAUGAAGUUUUUUUCGGAAUGUAAAAGUGCUUUUCAGUUGGGAAAGAAAAAAAAUGAAGGGUCCCAACAGAAGGAAGUGACGGCCUAAAUUCCGUGCCCAGCAGCCCGCGGUAAAUCGUUAUGUCACAAGCGGUAUCCGGAUUUUAUUUGGGCGUAAAGCGCGUCUAGGUGGUUAUGUAAGUCUGAUGUGAAAAAGCAGGGCUCAACUCUGUAUUGCGUUGGAAAACUGUGUAACUAGAGUUCCGGAGAGGUAAGCGGGAACUACAAGUGUAGAGGUGAAAUUCGUAGAUAUUUGUAGGAAUGCCGAUGGGGAAGCCAGCUUACUGGACAGAUACUGACGCUGAAGCGCGAAAGCGUGGGUAGCAAACAGG
rnacentral:rRNA from 1 species